GGGAAGGGCGCCCGAGUUCGCCCCAGCCGCGCUCUGCGGAAAGGCAGGGGGGCCGCCCACCCUGCUCCCUGAAGCUUCCUGGACUUCUCUAAGUCAUGUCGCGUUGCUGUCCCCUCCAUUUACAAGAGAUCUAAACUUGCAAGAGGCAGAAAAAUGACACAGUUAAAAGCAAGGCCUCUGGGGUUCAACAGCCCAGAUUUGGAAUCGUGGCUCUGCUGCUCACUCGCUGAGAUCUUGAGCCAGUUUCCUCAUCUCGGGAUCCUCAUCUGUCAAGUGGCAAUGACAACCAAACCGAUUUCAUAAGAAGUUCACGAGGAUUAAAUGUGUUAACUCUUAAUGAAAUACCCAAAACAGCA